CCUACGGGAGGCAGCAGUGGGGGAUAUUGCACAAUGGGGGGAACCCUGAUGCAGCGACGCCGCGUGGGUGAAGAAGUAUUUCGGUAUGUAAAGCCCUAUCGGCAGGGAAGAAUUUAGACGGUACCUGACUAAGAAGCCCCGGCUAACUACGUGCCAGCAGCCGCGGGAAUACGUAGGGGGCAAGCGUUAUCCGGAUUCACUGGGUGUAAAGGGAGCGUAGACGGCCAUGCAAGCCUGGAGUGAAAGCCCGGGGCCCAACCCCGGGCACGCUCUGGGAACUGUGCGGCUGGGGGGGGGGGGGGGCG
rnacentral:rRNA from 1 species